CAGAUUAUCAACAUCCUUUUUGAAUUGUGGACACCAGAACUGGACACAAUAUUCCAGCAGUGGUCACACCAGGGCCAAAUACAGAGAAUCACUGCUUCCCAGGAUAGUCUCAUCCAUCCUUACACAGAUAGGAUUGCAUGAGGUGAAGACCACGAUGAAGGAUUACAUGGCAAGGGGGAAUUGAGAUGUCUUCACUGUUCAUUUAAUUUAUUUAAAACAUUCUAUACUUUUUUUUC